CUUAAACUGAACCUUUUGACUGUGUUUUCUAACAUUUACACGAUCUACUGCAAAAUAGUUAUACUGUGUGGAACAUGUACAUAGAGGGUUUUUUGUUUUCCCUCUUUCUAUUUUCCUUCAAAAGUCGAAAUAAUAAAUGUAACUUUCGUUUCACACACUUAAAGUGAACAUGCAUAGUAAAUAUGUAUACCCGGACAAACGUGAUAAUAUGACAAGGACACUUUCAGAUAGUCAAAUGUAUAGAUUCAACAGGCGUCCCCAAGCUGGAAUUGUCCC